rnacentral:lncRNA from 10 species
AGAGAAGCCUCUAUACCUGGGAUUAUCUUUGGGAGAAAUUUUAAAAUUAAGAAUUCAGUCUCUUUAUUUAGUAUAGACCUAUUUAGAUUUUUGAUGUCUUCUUGAACCAAUUUCAGUAGUUUAUGUCUUUAAUAGUUUCCUAUUUAGAGACAGAGUCUUGCUGUGUCACCCAGGCUGGAGUGCAAUGGUGUGAUCAUGGCUCAUUUCAGCCUUGAACUCUUAGGCUCAAGUGUUCCUCCCACCUCAGUCUCCCUGUUGGCUGGGACUGCAGGUGUGCCACUAUGCCUGGCUAAUUAAAAAAAUUUUAUUUUAUAGAGAUGAAGGUUUCACAAUGGUGCCCAGGCUG